GGCCACAUAGCAUUGAAACAUUGGUUCCCAUAUGAUCACUGAAGUUAAGCAAUGUCAAGCCUGCUUAGUACCUAGAUGGAUGACCACUUAAGAAUAGUAGGUGCUGCAA